rnacentral:rRNA from 1 species
UACAGAGGCCUCGAGCGUUAAUCGGAAUUACUGGGCUUAAAGGGUGCGUAGGCGGAGCGAUAAGUGCCUUGUGAAAUCCCACGGCUCAACCGUGGAACUGCUGGGCAUACUGGGAGUCUUGGGCCAUUCAGGGGCAACUGGAACAAGCGGUGGAGCGGUGAAAUGCGUAGAUAUCGCUUGGAACGCCGAAGGUGAAAACAGGUUGCUGGGGAUGUGCCGACGCUGAGACACGAAAGCCAGGGGAGCAAACGGG